UGGGUGGAGGGUGCAUGGGGCGGCCCCCGGGGGGGGCGGGGGGGGCGGGUCUGUCCCAGGCGCUGCCGCAGACGCCGGGGCGGUGGCCCCGGCCACCCCCACCCUGCUGCGCACCGGCACCGGGCGGCACCGGGCCCGCUGGGCCGCGCAGGGCGCCGAGCUGGGCACCGGGGGGAGGGGUGAAAUGGCCCGGCCCGAGCACUGCGGCGGGAUGGGACGGAGAUGAAGAUGAGGACACAGGGCUCCGGCUGCUGGUCCAGCCGCUCCCGCUGCCCCCGGCUUCCUGCCCCCGCGGUCCCCGCCGUGCUACUCCAUCUGCUCCCACCUGCUGCCGCCCCGCGCCAGCCAGCCCCGAGCACCGCCGAUGUGGCCGCUGAUGCACGCGGGAGCACCGGGCAGGCUCCACAUCCCCCGUGGGUGCAAUCGCCCGAACGAUGCGGGAGCCCAUCCCUGCGGAACGCAGAGUCCCGGCACGGAGGAGUAUGCUGCCCUUAGGGCAUCCCCUACAGUGCCACCCUCUGUCCGUGCAGCUGUGGCCCUGGGUGACACCUGCAUGGAUUGAGGGCACCUGUCCGGAGCUCUGGGCUUUGGAGCGGCCACAGCUCCGAAAUCAGAGAACAAACGGGCAGGGGACAGUGAGGCCAUCUGCUCCCCGUGUGCGGCUGCUAUUCCAGGCUGGAAAGUGCUGAGGGAUCCAACUGGACCGCGGGCAAGUCGCCACGCACCGGAGAUGGCAGCGCCAUGUCAUGUGCUCAGGGUGAUGGGGCUGGGGACACUGCCUUCCCCUCCUCCCGCUCCUCCUCCCGCUCCUCCUGCUCCUCCUCCUCCUCCUCGAGUCAGCGGCAGCCUGUGGGAGAGAAGAUCCCCCUCGAGGAGGUUGGAGCUGGGGGCUGCAGCCGUGCUGGCUGCUCAGGGCUGUCACCUGCCCUGAGCACGGGGCCAUGCUGCUGCUUUGGGCUGUGACACCCCGGCUCCCCAGUCUGCUGCACUCAGGCAGGGGAGGCAGCCCCAGCCCCACGGGAACCGAGAAGGGCUGAGUGGCAGGGCUGGGGAGCUGUCCCUGGCCUUGUGCCCACCACCCACAGGGGUGGCAGCCCCUCAGAUGGAGGGGACCCCCUUGGAAAAGCCAUGUGGGCAGCAGGACUCUGCAGGUUGGGACGGGAGUGUCCCCUAGCCCUGUGCAGAGGACAGAGGUGUUGGGCCCCUGCCACGGCUCUGCGGGUCCGGACUUGUUCCUGGCCGAGCUGCCGGGGCCCCUGUCCUGCUGGAGGAACACGUGAGUGGCCAGAGGGAUCACACAAGCCUGGCUCGUCCCUGCAAUCCUUCAAGGAAAAGGCCAGCCUGGUGCCUGUCCCCAGGCACGAGCAGCUCCUGUCCCUGUGUCUGUGCUGCCCCACCGUGGCUUGCUGUCAAGGCCAGGAGCAGCCAGACUGGGCCGCUGUGGGGGCGCAUCCCCCCUUCUGUGGGAUCUUUGCCUGCUUGGCGCUGAGUCCUCCCCAAGCCCCAUGGGGAGCAGAGCCACAAUGUUCACUGUGUCCCUGUGACUCAGUUUCCCCACCAGCCCCCGACAGCGUGUCUCUGGCCAAAGUGUCUGCAGGUAACAGACUUAGUUCUCCUGGGCCCCAUCCAAAAGGGAAACUGAGGCACAGAGGAACAAUGUAGCCAUAGGUCACCCUGGAGGUCUGUGGUGACUCUGGGCACUUGGUGAGACCCAAAGCAGGGCAGAUCUCAUCCUGGGAGGGACAUGGGGGGUCACAUCUGUCCUACACAGCUGCAAAGCUGGGGGAGGUUGGGGCCUCCCCAAAGACUGAUUCAUUGAGGCUAUGCCAAGAGCUCGCUGUGAGAUUUGACACUAACCUGGCACAGGGUAUUGGAUCCCCUGAUCCAGCCCUGUCGUGUCCCUCGGUGCAGCUCAGAGCAGGAAGGGGCCACCCAACACAUUGGUUGGGACACUGCCCAAAGGAACUCCUCGAGGCUGAGAGUCCUCACCUUACUGGGGGAGUGAUUGCAGAUUCUGGGUUAGGGGUCCUGUAAUCUUGGGAAUUCUCAAGUCAGUCAGGCACUACCAAUUCCAUUUGACAUCACAAACCUGUAUUUGAAUGUUGGUGGAGGUUUAAUUGGUUUACCUGCUUUAUAAAAUAAAUCUCAUUUGAAUAUGC